AUUGAACGCUGGCGGCAUGCUUUACACAUGCAAGUCGAACGGUAACAGGCCGCAAGGUGCUGACGAGUGGCGAACGGGUGAGUAAUGCAUCGGAACGUGCCCAGUCGCGGGGGAUAACUACUCGAAAGAGUAGCCAAUACCGCAUACGAUCUAAGGAUGAAAGCGGGGGACCGUAAGGCCUCGCGCGAUUGGAGCGGCCGCUGUCAGAUUAGGUAGUUGGUGGGGUAAAGGCUCACCAAGCCAACGAUCUGUAGCUGGUCUGAGAGGACGACCAGCCACACUGGGACUGAGACACGGCCCAGACUCCUACGGGAGGCAGCAGUGGGGAAUUUUGGACAAUGGGCGCAAGCCUGAUCCAGCAAUGCCGCGUGCAGGAAGAAGGCCUUCGGGUUGUAAACUGCUUUUGUACGGAACGAAACGGCGCUGGUUAAUACCCGGAGCUAAUGACGGUACCGUAAGAGUAAGCACCGGCUAACUACGUG
rnacentral:rRNA from 1 species